rnacentral:rRNA from 1 species
UACACCGAAAGAAAAUGAGUGGCGAACGGGUGAGUAACACGUGGGUAACCUGCCCAUCAGCGGGGGAUAACACUUGGAAACAGGUGCUAAUACCGCAUAAUUCCAUUUACCGCAUGGUAGAUAGAUGAAAGGCGCUUUUGCGUCACUGAUGGAUGGACCCGCGGUGCAUUAGCUAGUUGGUGGGGUAACGGCCUACCAAGGCUGCGAUGCAUAGCCGACCUGAGAGGGUGAUCGGCCACACUGGGACUGAGACACGGCCCAGACUCC